GCCACGGCCCGCUCACAGUGUGGUUCCGGUAAGGAAGAUUUGCUCCUCCUCCUCUCCGUCUCUCCGGUCUCCACGCCGCCGCCGCCCGCUCCUACGGGGAGCCGAUCCCGCGCCUGAGCGCAGCAGCCAUGGCGAUUGCUUCUCUCAUCGCCUCCAGGUUCGCCAGGUCCGGCCACGGGCACGCCCUCCCCACCGCCGCCGCGGCCAUCUCUCAGGCGCCCAGGGCCCAGCACGCCGCAUCUCCGCUGCUCUCCGGCUUCGGACCACUCACUCGCGCCUUCAGCUCAAGGCCUCUAUGGAAGGGAGCGUUCGUCGACGCGUUCCUGCAAAGGAUAAAGAACAAGAGGGAGAACCUCAACGGCAAGAAGAUCUGGUCUCGCAGGUCUUCCAUCCUGCCGGAGUUCGUCGGUUCCACCGUGCUCAUUUACAACGGCAAGACUCACGUCCGCUGCAAGAUCACCGAGGGGAAGGUCGGCCAUAAGCUUGGGGAGUUUGCUUUUACGCGCAGACGGAGGCCCCAUCGGGCCAUUUUGGCGAAGGGCGGUCAAGGAAAGGGGAAGAAGAAGUAAGAAAUGGGAAUGUGCGUGCGUCAAAGGUUCUAGUGCCGCACGUCAGGUUUCAUCUUCGCCGGCAAAUCUUUGUCACAUGGUUAAGGCAGGUGGGUUUAUGGACGGUGGGAUGAGGGCCUAGUUGAAGCACAAGCACUUGAAUCACCUUAAUUUUCCGGACUGCGUUUUCUUUCUUACAAGAAUAAUUAUAGCAGAAAGAAUGUUUAGCUCAUCUUACUUGAAGAUUUUCCAUGUACUCUGUUUGUUUACUCUGCUAGUGGUUCCAGCAUAACUCUAGAGUGCUGGUCUUAUAUUUCUUUGGGCCUUACUGAGGUCUGAUGCCACGACUUGCCAACUGUCAUGUGUAUCUUGCUACACUUCCUUUGCAAUAGGGGUAUCUUGCUGAUUGUUGCUUUGCA